UUUCGAGCCCCCGUCAUUUGUUUCAGUGAGCGGUUCUUACAUCAACGCGGUUGCGGACCAUUCCGCCCCGGUUGUUGGCUGUAACGUUUGUAGUUAAUGUUACCCAACAGCUGCAGUUUUUCGUCCAUGGCGGAAAUGAUGGCGUCCAGUUGCCAUCCUCUUCGUCAAGUAUAACAAUUUCAGAAAACGCAUCGUCAAGGAGAGAGAGACCCCCUUAAUUUUGCUCAAAUGUUCGGUGGGGAAGAAACGGCGAAUUCAACAAUCGAAUCGCUCGCAGGAGGACUUCAUGAUUUCCGCGAUUGACGAGAAACUGCAGCUGUUGGGUAACAUUAAUUGCGCUACGGUCAACAACCGAGUAGAAUGAAUCUUGAAAGAGUUGAGGAAUUUGGCCGUUUUCCCCCAACACUGGACCGAUUUGAGCAUCGAGGGUGUCUCGCGCGUCUGUCUAUCUGGACUGAAGAGGAACGUUCUGAUCAUGUUAUACUUUUGGCGGAGAAGAUGGCGGAAUAUUUUGUUGACAAAUUUGUUAAAUGAAAGUUCGGUGAAUUCUCAUUUGAGGGCAUCUUUCAAUACAGAAUAUCAGAUAAGA